rnacentral:rRNA from 1 species
ACACAUUCCAAGUAUUAACGGGGUUUGGUUGAAAGCCUAGCUUUUGACUAAACCUAGUGGCGGACGGUUUGAGUAACGCGUGGGCAACCUACCCUACAGACCGGGAUACCAUUCGGGAAAACUGAUGUUAAUACCCGGAUACACUUAGUAUAACGCAUGUUGUAUUAAGGAAAGAUUUUAUCGCUGUAGGAUGGGCCUGCGUUCCAUUAGCUAGUUGGUAGGGUAACGGCCUACCCAAGGCGACGAUGCGUAGCCGACCUGAGAGGGUGAUCGGCCACACUGGGACUGAGACCACGGCCCAGACUCCUACGGGAGGCAGCAGUAGGGAAUCUUCCGCAAUGGACGAAAGUCUGACGGAGCAACACCGCGUGAGCGAUGAAGGCCUUCGGGUCGUAAAGCUCUGUUGUUAGGGAAGAACAAGUGCUAUUCGAAUAGGGUGGCACCUUGACGGUACCUAACGAGAAAGCCACGGCUAACUACGUGCCAGCAGCCGCGGUAAUACGUAGGUGGCAAGCGUUGUCCGGAAUUAUUGGGCGUAAAGCGCGCGCAGGCGGUCUCUUAAGUCUGAUGUGAAUGCCCACGGGCUCAACCGUGGAGGGUCAUUGGAAACUGGGAGACUUGAGUACAGAAGAGGAGAGUGGAAUUCCAUGUGUAGCGGUGAAAUGCGUAGAUAUAUUGGAGGAACACCAGUGGCGAAGGCGACUCUCUGACCCUGUAACUGACGCUGAGGCGCGAAAGCCGUGGGGAGCAAACAGGAUUAGAUACCCUGGUAGUCCACACCGUAAACGAUGAGUGCUAGGUGUUGGGGGUCGAACACUCAGUGCCGCAGCUAACGCAUUAAGCACUCCGCCUGGGGAGUACGCUCGCAAGAGUGAAACUCGAAGGAAUUGACGGGGACCCGCACAAGCAGCGGAGCAUGUGGUUUAAUUCGAAGCAACGCGAAGAACCUUACCCGGACUUGACAUCCUUCAGACCACUCCUUAACCGGAGUCUUCCCUUCGGGGACUGAAGUGACAGGUGGUGCAUGGUUGUCGUCAGCUCGUGUCGUGAGAUGUUGGGUUAAGUCCCGCAGCGAGCGCAACCCUUGUCUUUAGUUGCCAGCAAGUAAAGUUGGGCACUCUAGAGAGACUGCCGGGGAUAACUCGGAGGAAGGUGGGGAUGACGUCAAAUCAUCAUGCCCCUUAUGUUCAGGGCUACACACGUGCUACAAUGGCCGAUACAAAGGGCUGCGAAGGAGUAAUCUGGAGCCAAUCCCAUAAAGUCGGUCCCAGUUCGGAUUGUGGGCUGAAACUCGCCCCAUGAAGUUGGAGUUGCUAGUAAUCGCGAAUCAGAAUGUCGCGGUGAAUGCGUUCCCGGGUCUUGUACACACCGCCCGUCACAGCAUGGGAGUCGGAAGCACCCGAACCCGAGCUAUCUAACCUUUUGAAGGAAGG